rnacentral:pre_miRNA from 1 species
CUGUGGAGCCCAAUGGGGAAGUCGGAGGAAAACAGUGGCUGCCUGAAAGGCUCGCAGGUGCAGCUCCGACCCCUCCAUGGGCUCGUGGG